AUCCAUGCUCGAGUUCUAGAUUUUUUUCACUUUUUGACAAAACUAGCAGAAUGCCCGUGCGUUGCCACGGUCCAGGAAAGCCACUUUUGGGUCUUUUCUUUUUUCUUUUUCUUUUUCUUUUUUUUUCCUCUUGGGCCACACCCGUUCUCCCUCUUGAGUUAGCUUUCCCGAGAACACGCAGCCCAUGCCCGCACGAGCGCCCGUGCCCGUCUUCUUUCUCGCGCCAAAAGCAGCCCCCGCGCACGCCGGCCGCCGCAAUCUCCGCCCUCGAUGACACCUCCUCGACCCGCAACCCGUUCAGGUGCUCCGAACCGUAUCCCAUGGCCCUUCCCUUCCUUUUUCCCUCCUCGAGCAUCCCCCAUAAUCACGGUUAGACCACCUUAGCGCGCGUUGUCGUAGCGGCUCUCGUUGGUCCAGAUCAACACGCGGGGGAUGAGGGCUGAGAGAACGAACAUAUUCCCCUGUUUUCUGUGGAAUUAAAUGGCUGCUGAACCGCCUUAGCGCGCGUUGUCGUAGCGGCUCCCGUUGGCCCAGAUAAACUCGUCGGGGGAUUAGGGCUGAGAGAACGAAUCAAUUCCCCUGUUUUCUCUGGAAUUAAACGGUGUCUGACAAGAUAGAGCCUGUAGGCCAGCGCCGCCGGCUCUCGGAUGGAAGUAGGCACCGCAUGUUGGACCAUAUUUUUUGUGACGAAUUAAUCUGCCGCUGCACCUAAAGAUAAUGAGCAUCACCAAAGCAGCAGAGAAAGGUUGAAGGUGUGAAGAGAUACUUUUGGUCUUUUAAUUGGGUUUUCUUCGCUGCGUCAGGGGAAGUAUUUUUUAUGUUGGAUUACGAAGGGUCUCCUAUUGGUCUUCGCCAGGAGGGGGGAGCUCGGCGUCUGGAGCGGACGAAGGAGUAGUUUGCAUGCAGGCGCACAAGGUGGGUCUGGGGGCUUGGCGAAAAAAAGAAGAAAAAAAAAUGGAACGGUCCGUAUUUUUUACAUUGGUAGGUAUACAUAGAUUCGGUGCAAUCCUGGGGGCCCACAAUUUUUUUUGGAAAGUUUGACAGACGACGGUGAAAAGAACGGUCCGUAUUUUUUAGAUUGGUACAGAUAAGUGAUAUCUCGGACGUUCUUUUAAAAACAAGAAAACGUAUAUUUUUGGUAUCUCAUCAACUGUUAGCGUAGAUUUUGUAACUCGAUUCACAAAACUAAAAAGAGGCCUAAUCCCUUAACCGGUUUUGGUCCCUCACGCCAUUCUAUGAGUGGUUUCAUUGAUGAGGUGGCA
rnacentral:lncRNA from 1 species